rnacentral:rRNA from 1 species
CUGCAUGGCUGUCGUCAGCUCGUGUCGUGAGAUGUUGGGUUAAGUCCCGCAACGAGCGCAACCCUUGCCUUUAGUUGCCAGCAGUUCGGCUGGGCACUCUAAAGGGACUGCCGGUGUUAAACCGGAGGAAGGUGGGGAUGACGUCAAGUCCUCAUGGCCUUUAUGACCAGGGCUACACACGUACUACAAUGGCCGAUACAAAGGGCAGCGACACUGCGAGGUGAAGCCAAUCCCGUAAAAUCGGUCUCAGUCCGGAUUGGAGUCUGCAACUCGACUCCAUGAAGUUGGAAUCGCUAGUAAUUCGAGAUCAGCAUGCUUGGGUGAAUGCGUUCCCGGGCCUU